GUCGAACGCUAGCGGCGCGCUUAACACAUGCAAGUCGAGCGGAAAGGCCCUUCGGGGUACUCGAGCGGCGAACGGGUGAGUAACACGUGAGCAACCUACCCUUGGCUUUGGGAUAGCCCCGGGAAACCGGGGCUAAUACCGAAAAUCCACUUUCUGUCGCAUGACGGCGGGUGAAAAGUUUUUCGGCUGGGGAUGGGCUCGCGGCCUAUCAGCUUGUUGGUGGGGUAAUGGCCUACCAAGGCUUCGACGGGUAGCCGGCCUGAGAGGGCGACCGGCCACACUGGGACUGAGAUACGGCCCAGACUCCUACGGGAGGCAGCAGUGGGGAAUAUUGCACAAUGGGCGCAAGCCUAAUGCAGCGACGCCGCGUGAGGGACGAAGGCCUUCGGGUUGUAAACCUCUUUCGGCAGGAAGAAGCGCAAGUGACGGUACCUGCAGAAGAAGCGCCGGCUAACUACGUGCCAGCAGCCGCCGUAAAAC
rnacentral:rRNA from 1 species